CGACUGCAUUUGAACCUAUAGUUAGUGGCGCUUAUAUAUAAACGUCGCAAAUGAGUUAAUUUUUACAUUAAACGGCGUCGUUUUUUUUCGAUCGUUUUGACUGAAACUUAAAUCAGAUUCCUAUCCCUUAAACUCUCAUUCUCCCCCAAAUCCCUAAAAUUUCCCCUAAUCCCUAACUGUUCCCCAAACCUGACCACCUGCUACGUUGUCGUCUCCUCUGCUGCAUCACAGUCUCUAUCCGUCUUCGGUGCCGCAACCAUCGGCUGAAUUAAGAUUUGGUGCAACUGAAUACAUAUCUGACCAUUGACAUUUGGUUUGCGUUGGCUGUGUUUUGGCUGAGCUAUUGCUUGGAUAGGUACAUGUUAAUAUUUUAAUUUUUUUGCUUAUUUAUAUGCAUUUUCCCAAAUGACUUAACAAAUUUCAUAUUUUUAUUAAAUAGUCUCUGUUUGCUUUGGUGAGAGUGGAGUAGACCAAGUUGAGUAAACUAUUAAGAAACUGUCGUCCGGUCAAAAAGUUAGACGCCUUCAGCUUUUUGACAUUACACAUAGAAAGAAAGAUGGAUUUCCUAUGACUCCUGAAGCUGCAAAAAUUUUGGUAUGUUUACUUAAUAAAAAGACUAUCGUAUAAAUAUUUAUAAUUAAAGCAGACGCAGCAGCGAGGCAAGCAGAGGCAGCAUCGAGAGAAGCUGAGGUUCAAAGAAAAUAUGAAGAACUCUAGCUACAACUUAAAGCUGAUGCAGUAGCGAGAAAAGCUGAGGCUGCAUCGAGGGAAGCCGAGCAGAGGAGAAAGUAUGACGAACUCCAACAGCAGCUUUAGAAUAUGAUGAAGAUGUUUCAGCAGUCGCAACAUCCGCCAUCUUAGAAUAUCGUAUAAAUAUUGUUAUCAUUUUAACUUUUAACAAUAUUGUAAGAAUAAUAUGAAUU